GCCACGCACUGAAGACUCGUCAGCCAACAUUAAACUGCAACUGUCUGAUAAAGCUGUGCUUUUGAUUUUUACUCCAUCGCAUGCGAUCCGAGCACCGAUGCCACAGACACCGCACAGCUGCUAAUUUCUUUGCGGGGAGUGGAUGAGAGCACGAGCGCUUUAGGAGUAUGUCUAAGAGGGGCGAGUCCUUUGGGAUUAGCCGCAUCGGCAGUAAGAUCAAAGAUCAUGGUGGCGUUGGUGGAGGAAGCCAUGAUGGUGCUGGAAGAUGACCCCCCUAUGGAGGCGGCCUCCACCCCGAGCACCCCGCGAAACCUCUCAGCCUGGAACAUCACAAUCCCGUACAUUGAUUUCUCGAUGACGACGUAAA